UACGGAGGGGGCUAGCGUUGUUCGGAAUUACUGGGCGUAAAGCGCACGUAGGCGGCUUUGUAAGUUAGAGGUGAAAGCCCGGGGCUCAACUCCGGAACUGCCUUUAAGACUGCAUCGCUUGAAUCCGGGAGAGGUGAGUGGAAUUCCGAGUGUAGAGGUGAAAUGCGCAGAUAUCAGGAGGAACACCGGGUGGCGAAGGGCGGGUCUCUGGGCCGAUACUGACGCUGAGGAGCGAAAGCGUGGGGAGCGAACAGG
rnacentral:rRNA from 1 species